rnacentral:rRNA from 1 species
GAUGAACGCUAGCGGCAGGCCUAAUACAUGCAAGUCGAACGGUAACAUGGUCAGCAAUGACUGAUGACGAGUGGCGCACGGGUGCGUAACGCGUAUGCAAUCUACCUCUUACUGGGGAAUAGCCCGGAGAAAUCCGGAUUAACACCGCAUAAUAUAUUGUUGAGGCAUCUCAGUGAUAUUAAAUAUUUAUAGGUAAGAGAUGAGCAUGCGUCCAAUUAGUUAGUUGGUGAGGUAACGGCUCACCAAGACAAUGAUUGGUAGGGGUUCUGAGAGGAAGGUCCCCCACACUGGUACUGAGAUACGGACCAGACUCCUACGGGAGGCAGCAGUAGGGAAUAUUGGGCAAUGGACGAGAGUCUGACCCAGCCAUG